rnacentral:rRNA from 1 species
AAGCUCGUAGUUGAAUUUCGGGAUCAAUGCGUCGGUCGUGCCUUCGGUACGUACUAGCGUCAUUGAUUCCUCCCUUCUGAAGAACCGUAAUGUCAUUAAUUUGGUGUUACGGGGAAUCAGGACUGUUACCUUGAAAAAAAUUAGAGUGUUUAAAGCAGGCUAACGCUUGAACACAUUAGCAUGGAAUAAUGAAAUAGGACGUUCGAACCUAUUUUGUUGGUUUCUAGGAUCGACGUAAUAAUUAAUAGGGAUAGUUGGG